GCUGCGAUGGCCCAGUGGUUAAAGGCACUAGGCUCCGACCCUCGUGGUCUCGGGUUCAAUUCCCCGUCGCGGCG